AUUGAACGCUGGCGGCAGGCCUAACACAUGCAAGUCGAGCGGAUGAAGGGAGCUUGCUCCUGGAUUCAGCGGCGGACGGGUGAGUAAUGCCUAGGAAUCUGCCUGGUAGUGGGGGAUAACGUCCGGAAACGGGCGCUAAUACCGCAUACGUCCUGAGGGAGAAAGUGGGGGAUCUUCGGACCUCACGCUAUCAGAUGAGCCUAGGUCGGAUUAGCUAGUUGGUGGGGUAAAGGCCUACCAAGGCGACGAUCCGUAACUGGUCUGAGAGGAUGAUCAGUCACACUGGAACUGAGACACGGUCCAGACUCCUACGGGAGGCAGCAGUGGGGAAUAUUGGACAAUGGGCGAAAGCCUGAUCCAGCCAUGCCGCGUGUGAGAAGAAGGUCUUCGGAUUGUAAAGCACUUUAAGUCGGGAGGAAGGGCAGUAAGUUAAUACCUUGCUGUUUUGACGUUACCAACAGAAUAAGCACCGGCUAACUUCGUG
rnacentral:rRNA from 1 species